GAUGAACGCUGGCGGCGUGCCUAAUACAUGCAAGUCGAGCGAACAGACGAGGAGCUUGCUCCUCUGACGUUAGCGGCGGACGGGUGAGUAACACGUGGAUAACCUACCUAUAAGACUGGGAUAACUUCGGGAAACCGGAGCUAAUACCGGAUAAUAUAUUGAACCGCAUGGUUCAAUAGUGAAAGACGGUUUUGCUGUCACUUAUAGAUGGAUCCGCGCCGCAUUAGCUAGUUGGUAAGGUAAAGGCUUACCAAGGCGACGAUGCGUAGCCGACCUGAGAGGGGGAUCGGCCACACUGGAACUGAGACACGGUCCAGACUCCUACGGGAGGCAGCAGUAGGGAAUCUGACGCAAUGGGCGAAAGCCUGACGGAGCAACGCCGCGUGAGUGAUGAAGGUCUUCGGAUCGUAAAACUCUGUUAUUAGGUAAGAACAAAUGUGUAAGUAACUAUGCACGUCUUGACGGUAACUAAUCAGAAAGCAACGGCUAACUACGUG
rnacentral:rRNA from 1 species